rnacentral:lncRNA from 1 species
UUCAUCUAAACUUUUAAUCAUUUAAUAACUGUUCACACCUCUUACCAGUUCCCGGUUCCAAUUCGAGAAGAUCAGAUCGACUAUGUGAAUCCCUUUUAUCUAUGUGAUUAGCGUUAGUUUCUCAAACAUGUAUGUGUCAUUUUCUGUUCCCUCCGUACCAGAGAUGAGUUCAGUUUCCAAAUUGUCGAUUAUAAGAGUUUUAGAUCUGCAGAAUUGAGUUCGAGUGAAGCAGAUCUGAGGUGAAUUUCCGGUGAUCCCGCCUCGUAUUGCGACCAGAAAAGGUAAAACCUAGUUUUUUAUUACUCUUUCAGUUCAUAUCUUAUGCUUUGUUUGAACUCCAAACUAGGGUUUCGUAUUGGGGGAAUUCGAACAUAUUGAAUUAUCACGUUGUUGAAUAGGGUUCUCUUAAUGAAAGCAAAUAAAUUCUUAGUUUUCAGAAUUAAUUUCCUUGAAUGUUAUUUAACUUUGGUUUAAAACUGAACUUGAUUUGGUUUGUUCAGUGAUUCAGGGUUAUUUUAGGUCUGAAUGAAAUAUUGUUAUAGAAUUGGAAGGUUUUGAUUUCUGAUUUGUUUAGUAAACCUUAAUGUUGUUUGAUUAAUGGAAAAGAAUUGAUGAUAUCAACAUCUGCUUGUGAGAAGUUGAUUAAAUACAGUUAGACAAGAAAGGUGUAUAUGGCCAUUGCCUUUAGGAUAACAUAUUGAUUAAUGUUCUCUUUUGUGAUAUUGGUACUACAAAGGUGUAUAUAGCCAUUGCCUUUAGCAAUAACAAACAGUCCAGGUAACUUGAAAAUGUGGUUCUUCUAAAGAUUUUGAAAAUAAGUUGAUGGGGUGUAUUAUACAAAUGUGGAUGUACACAUGCUAUUAGUGUCAGCAUAUGAUAGUCAUGAGUAUGAAUUACGGUUCUGUUUGAGUGUCAAAACUGCUGAUAGUUAGACAUCGCAUUUACAUGGUUCGAUAGGCAUAAUGAAGGUUAACAUUUUUUAUACAUGGACCCUUUGAAAUCGUCAACCAACACAACGUUGUCUUUUUUGGUUGUUUUUCUUAAUUUAUCAGAUAAUCAGAGUUUCUCAAACACUUGAAUAACCUAUAGGGGUGUAACCAAGCCGAGCCCGAGCCCGACUAGGUUGAGCUCGGCUCGUCAUGUUUUUAUGAAACUCGAACUUAAGCUCAACUCUGUUCGAGCCUGCUUAUUGGGAUUAAGGGUGUAAACGAGCUAAUAACAAAUGUCAUAGGAAAAACAUAUAUACGUGACCAAAAGUUAGAAAAUAGCAACACUUGCAAUAAAUUCAUGUGACCAUGUAAUAGAACCGGCCAUACUUACAAUAAAUUCAUGUGGCCGUUGCUACCUUUUAGCCAUACUUAAUAGACAAAAUGUUUGAUUACAACUCUUUUUGUCACACUUUUAUUUAAUUGAUGUGGCUAAAACAUACUUUUUAGUAAAUAUAUGUGACUAUAUAAUACAAAGAGACACACUUUGAUUAAAUUUAUGUGGCUAUUGCAACCCUUUAGCCACACUUAAUUGAGGAAAUGCUAGAUUUUAACCAAAAAUGUUGUUACCCUUUAGCCACACUUUUAAGUUCUAAAGCCACUAAAAAGUGUAUGUGACCAUAUGAUACCUACGAUGACUCGAGCUUUGGUCACACUUGAUAUGAAAAAAAUAUGUGUGGCGAAAGACAUAUAGUCACACUUUUUUGGUGUGGCUGUAUCCCUAUUUUGGCGUAGUGUCUGCGCUCGACGUUCGUUCGAUGCUCGCUCGAAAAAUGCUCGGAAUUUGCUCGUUCGAUUCAGCUUGAUUGAAAAAAAUGCUUGGUUUGGAUCGGUUCGGUUUGUAAAUGAACAGAGCACGAGCAAAGGUCUGCUCACUUCGGUUCGACUCGGUUGGCUCGAUUUAUUUUCAAAUAUGUAUAUAUAUUUUUGUGUGUAUCAUUUUUAAUGAAAUGACUGUAGACUAACAUCAACAACGUUUGGUCCAAAAUCCAAAU